CAUUGUUUUUCUCCAAAUCAAAUGUGUUUUUUUGUUAUUGAUUUUUGUUAAUGUUUGCUAACUUUAUUGUCAUAAUCGUCCCUCAUUUGUUGCCCCUUUAUCUUACCGGUUAUUGUUAGUGUACUGUUGUCUAUACUAAUAUUUACUUACUUCUAUGGCAUAAUUCAAUAACUUAUUGAUGAUAUAUAACAAUGGCAACAAUUUAUCAAGCAGACACAUAUAGUUUGGUCAAACAGUAUAUGUUUUGUCAUUUUACUGAAGUCUGUUAUCAUUGUAAACGUCUUAUGGGAAUAGUGAUUGAAUCAAUGUGUUAAUUUUAUACAGGGUUUUAAAACAGUAACAAUGUUAACACAGAGUACAAUUUUAUAGAUAGACAAUUACUGAAUUUUUAUACGCCCACAUGGAAAUGUGGUUGUAUAUUGAAGUCACCCCCGUCCAUCCGUCAGUCCAUCCAUCCAUCAUCCACAAUUUCUUGUGAACACUCUACAGACUACAUUUAUCAACCGAUUGUUUUGAAAUUGAUAUAUGUUGUUUGCAUUAGUGAGAUGAAGAAGCCUAUUUAAUUUCAAGAACUUUCGUUAAUUUCUUCUAGAGUUAUGGCCCUUGUUUCACUUUGUUGUACCUUGUGAACGCUCUAACGACAAAAGUUAUCAACCGAUCUGUAUGAAAUUUAUAUGCAUCAUUUAAAUUAGUAAAACAAAGAAGCCUAUUGAAUUUCAGCUAUUUCCGUUAAUUACAUCUAGAGUUAUGGCCCUUGUUUCACUUUGUUGAAUCUUGUGAACGCUCUAAUGACAAAAGUUAUCAUCCGAUCUGUUUGAAAUUGAUAUGCAUCAUUUGAAUUAGUGAAAUGAAGAAGCCCAUUGAAUUUCAGCAAUUUCCGUUAAUUUCUUCUGGAGUUAUGGCCCUUGUUUCACUUUGUUGCAUCUUGUGAACGCAUCAUUUAGAUUAGUAAAACAAAGAAGCCUAUUAAAUUUCAGCAAUUUCUGUUAAUUACAUCUAGAGUUAUGGCCCUUGUUUCACUUUGUUGAAUCUUUUGAACGCUCUAAUGACAACAGUUAUCAUCCGAUCUGUUUGAAAUUGAUAUGCAUCAUUUAAAUUAGUGCAACGAAGAAGCCUAUUGAAUUUCAGCAAUUUCCGUUAAUUACGCCGUGAGUUAUGGCCCUUGUUUCACUUUUUUGUACCUUGUAAAUGCUCUAACGAGAAAAGUUAUUAUCCGAUCUGUAUGAAAUGUAUCAUUUAAAUUAGUAAAACGAACAAGCCUAUUGAGUUUCAGUUAUCACCUAAAUCAGUGAAAUGAAGACGAACAAGCCUAUUGAAUGUCAGCAAUUUCCGUCACUUACGUCUAGAGUUAUGGCCCUUGAUUUACUUUGUUAAACUUUGUGAACUUUCGAACAACAAAAGUUAUCAUCUGAUCUGUAUAAAAUUGAUAUGCAUUAUUUGAAUUAGUAAAAUGAAAAAAGCCUGUCGAAUUUCUGUAGAUUUCUGUAGAGUUUCAGUUAUCACCUAAAUCAGUGAAAUGAAGACGAACAAGCCUAUUGAAUGUCAGCAAUUUCCGUCACUUACGUCUAGAGUUAUGGCCCUUGAUUUACUUUGUUAAACUUUGUGAACUUUCGAACAACAAAAGUUAUCAUCUGAUCUGUAUAAAAUUUAUAUGCAUUAUUUGAAUUAGUAAAACGAAAAAAGCCUGUCGAAUUUCUGUAGAUUGCUUCCAGAGUUAUGGCCCUUGUUUUAAUUCUUUAGAACCUUGUGAAGCUUCAAACAACGAAAAUUAUAAUGUCAUCUGUAUGAAAUUGUCUAUUAAAUUCCCCUAAUUACCUACAAAAGAAUAAAUAUGUGACAACCCUUGUCGACUGCUCGGACGAUUUAGUUGCUGUGGGCGUAUGUUUUGUUUCCUGGCAACGAAUCUUUAUUUAAUACUAAGCGGCGUUUCGACGAGGAUAUUGCUUGAUAAAGACGAGAGUAUCCUCGUCCAAACGUAUUUGCUUGAAUUAAACGAGAUUUCUUCGUCGAAACGACGCUUAGUAUUAAGCUCAGUAAUAAUACACAAUUACUCAGUUUAAUACUAAGUGACGUUUCGACGAGGACACUAUUGUCCUUACCAAGCAAAUUAAUAACAUUUUACCUUGUGUUAAUAGAAGAAGUAACUAGACCCUGUGGACCCAGAGAAAAACUCUUUCACUUGUGUAUAAAUAUCAAUGACUGUAUGUCGGUGAUAUCAACAAUCUGUUUGAACAAGACUAUUAAUUUGUAUGUCUGUUCUUUGACCAAAUGGCUUUUAAUAACAUCUAUUAUAUCUUGUACUGUAACUUAAUUCCAUAUAUUCUACUACACUUGACUGGACCAAUUUUAUCUUGAAUUCUUUAUAUCGCAGCAAUUUUUUUGUAGUUAUAUUGGUAUUUGUCAGACUGUUUGAAAGUUAACCUUGUUGAGUCAGCAUCUCACAUUAUCGCUGAGCAUUAUAAUUGCUCAUUAACCAUUGCUAGAUAGCAUAGCUGUUUUCAUUGGUUGUCCAGGUUGGCAUGUUUAUAUAAGUACUACUAAUUGUUGAAUUUGGAAUACCAGGCGGGAAAAAAAGGUGGAGUAAUUUGGCCAUUUCUGAUUUCUAAUGUAAUAAUGGUUUAUAACCUAAUGAUGCUCAUCUUUAUAUAUUUAUUAUGAGUUAUAGUAAACACGUUAUAUGUCACUCAGCCACUGAAAACACAUUAGACUUACAUGUUUAGUUUUAGCAACAGAAACAUAGUAAAUUGUAUUUAGUAGUAGUAUUAUUUGUUUAUACAAUAUAAGUAACUAAUAUAUAAGGCAUAAGUUUAAAUAUAGUCUGUCUCAUUCUCUUCUACAUUUAUAAUACUCAUAUUCUUUUAUAUAUUGGAACAUUAGGAUCAUAAACACCUGCUCUUGAACUAUAAAUCUGGUGGCAAUUCUUUAUCAAUUUUUGGACCAGGAACUGGUCGCUAACCACUACCUUAUGUUCUUCUUCUUCUUGGGGUGACACUAUUCGAAAAAAGCCUAAGCCUCCAUCAAUUCAAGUCUGAUCGACAUAAAAAUUGGCAUGCUUGUUCUGUGAACAAUUCUGCAUCAAUUUGGUGAAUUAGACUUUUGAAUUUCAUCCAGCAAUAUGGUCAGUUCCUGGUCCAUAGUACGAUCAUACUUAUUAUAUUCGAUCAUACUUAUAUUCGCAUUUGAUAUUUUAUAAUGAAUUAUUCACCUUUAAAUUGUGAAUCUACAGUGGAUGCUGGUUAAAGUGUGUCACAAUGAGACAGUAUAAAUAGAUACAGGUUAUAGACAAGUAUGUUGAUGUAGUUCUUAUUUUUAUUUAAGACACUUGAUCACUCUUACCAAAAAAAUGAAUAUAACUACUUUUGAAUAACCUACUAAGACUGUUAUUUACCACCAACAUUUGAUGAUAAGAAAUCCUUGAAAACCAUUAAUUAUUGGUUUGACACAUAGACUGACAGUUAAUCAAACUGAAUUUGAAGUAUUGAUAUUUUUGAAGGCAUGGCCUUAGGAAAUUUGUUCACUGUCCAAGUUUUCCUUUUGGAUAAGCUACUGUCUGUAGCUAUAUUCUUUUUCUUUUUUAUUUUUCAGACAUAUCCACUGUGUAGGUAGGCGUAUUUGCACGCUUUUACAUGGCUAUCUUUUAUUUUAAUUUGUAUGUUAAAGAAUGAGAGCUCUAUCAAACUCACAUUUUUUAUUAAGUCUAUGAUUAACUUGCAGUUUUUGUUUUUGUCCCCCGGCUUUCAAAGAAAACAGGGGACUAUUAAAAUGGGUUUGUCUGUCUGUCUGUCCGUCCGUCACACUUUUUGGGACACAAUAACUCUCCUUCUAAUUCAGCUAGAAUGUUCAAACUUGGUGUAGGUGUUUAUUAGGUCAAUGCCCUGAUGGAGUUCUAAGAUGACCAUUUCCUGCUUAGGGUAAGCAGAGAUAAGCAAUUUGAUAGGUUGAUGCUUUGGUACAUGAUAAUUUUAGUUCUAAUUAAGUGGGAGUGAUGAAAUUUGGUGUAUAGUUUUAUUACAUCAAUAGCUUGACUAAGUUCAAUAAUGACCAUUUUCUGCUCAGUAUAAGCAGGCUUUGGAACAUCAAUUAACUCUCAUUCUAAUUGAACUAGAAUCUUCACGCUCGGUGUAGGUGUUUAUUAGGUGAAUGAAUGCCUGGAUGGAGCUCGAAGAUGAGAAUUUUCUGCUUAGGGUAAGCAGAGAUAAGCAAUUUGAUUGGUUGAUGCUUUGGCACACGAUAACUUUAGUUCUUAUUAAGUGAGAGUGAGGACACUUGGUGUUUAGCUUUAUCACAUCAAUACCUUGAUAAGCAAUUUAAUAGGUUGAUACUUUGGGACACGAUAACUUAAAUUUAGUUCUAAUUAAGGGAGAGUGAGGACACUUGGCGUAUAGUUUUAUCACAUCAAUAUCUUGACUAAGUUAGAUAAUAAGUAUUUACUGUUCAGGGUAAGCAGAGAUAAGCAAUUUGAUUGGUUGAUGAUGCUUUGGGACACGAUAACUUUAGUUCUAAUUAAGUGAGAGUGAGAACACUUCUUCUUCUAAUUGAGGUAGAAUGUUCAAACUUGGUGUAGGCAUUCAUUAGGUGAAUGCCUUGAUGGACUUCGAUGAUAAACAUAGUCUGCUUAGGGUAAGCAGAGAUAAGCAAUCUGAAUGGUUGAUGCUUUGGUGCACAAUAACUUUCGUUUUACUUAAAGUAGCUAGGUCUCUAACUCAAUAUCAUCCAAAGUCUUCGACACUGAAAACACAAAUUCUUUGUCAAUUUAAAUCAACAUUGAUGUUGUGAUCUUAUCGGGAAAAGAUGGGCAUCUGAUAUGCAUUAUUUAAGACAAAAUAGACAUUUGUAACAAGGCACUCGGAGAACAAGGCUAGACAUAUUCCACAAGUCAUGUCAAAUGGUAACGCCAUAUUCUUAUCUGGAGAGCAUGCCAAACAAAUACUAUCGGUGCAGACUGGAAUAACCAGACGUUAGAGAUUGCUGUUUUAUUGAGACUGCUGACGUAUUUCGCCGAACAUAACUGAUUAGAAAUUAUAUAAAAAUAGAAACGAUAGGAUGUAAAUCAGUUUAUAUACAUUCAUAUUGCAUUGUUAUAUGCGUUGUGACCCAUUUGUGUGAAUUUCUAGGUCCCAAAUAUUAGUGAUUUAGCUCCUUUAAGUGAGAGUGAUGAAACUCUGAGUAUAGAUUCAUUAUAUCAAUGAUGAGAAUUUUCUGCUUAGGCUAAGAAGCAAUAAGCAUUUUGAUUGGUCAAGACUUUGGAACAUAGCAACUCUGAUUUUAAUUGGGGUAGAAUGUUUAAACUUGAUGUAGAUGUUCAUUAGUUGAAUGUCUUCACUGAGUUCAAUGAUUAACAUUUUUAGCUAAAGCUAAGCAGAGCUAAGCAAUUUCAUUUGUCGAUGCUUUGGGACAAGAUAAGUUUGAUUCUUGAUACUUUUGAAAAAAAUAAAUGUGCUAUUAAAUAAUAUGUGUCAUCUAUUUAUUUUGGGAAUUCGGCGGGGGAAAUCCGCCUCAUUGUUGGCUUGUAAAAAUUUGUAGAUAGUUGCAAUGUCAGAUUUAAAAGUUUGUAGAAAGCUUUAAAAAAAAUAUAUAUACUAUUGCUACUGCUACAAGUACAAAGGAUUUUUACAAAAACUUUUGAUAUUUUAUAAAAGGUAUCAACUUUAUUUAUAGAAAUAAUAUUCAAUUGUUUUAAUUCAUUAAUAAACAUGUUUUAAUAUAAUUUAAUGAUAAUAAAUAAUAAUGAAGUAUUAUUAUAUUAAGAUAGAUAUUUAUGGGUUUUUUUUUUACAUGAUUAUAUAUUAAUUGUUAUAGACUUAAUUUACCUUAGUUUUACUCCAAAAUAAAUUUACAUAUUGAGCAAUAGGAAUAAUUUAGUCAAUGUAGUAAGGAAAAAAUAAUGAAAGCAUUUAUAAUAAUUAUAGAUCUCAAUAGUAUUUAAGUGCAUAUGUUGUAAGUUGAAUUCUAUAAUAUUUUCUCUACUGAGAACAAUACCCAAGUUUUCUUUGGGCAUUUCCUUUUGUUGACAAUUGAAAUGGUGUUUUGAUUUUUGUUCAGUCUUAUUUCCAACUCAGCUAAAUGUUGAACAACUAGAGAUUAGUAACAUAAUACUGAUAAGUACACACUACACAGUAUAAUAAACUAAGGCCUCAUUAACUUUUAUAAACAAUAUUUUAUUCAGACCUGUGUACCCAAUUUAUGUAGAUUGACUAACAGGUAAAUUUCUGUUAUGCUCAUUUUUAUUACCAAUCAGUCAGGACUGGCAAAAAUGAUGAAAUUGAGGGCUUAAAGACAUUAAUUAUUAUAUUUACGUUCAUAGGAACUAUACCUUACUGUGUAAUUUGUAAUUUAUUUAUAGGACAACUAGAUUUAUAUUAUAGCUGAAUGUUACUGUCCAAGUCAGGGUUGUUCAUUUGGAAAGUUUCUUUAUAUUGGCCAUUGUAAUUGUAUUGUAAUCUGGUAUUUGAAAUAUCAAAAGAAACUCAAUAAUACCAACUACUUGACAUAGCUAACAAUUUUAUUAUAUGCUCACAUUUUCAUGUGGACGUAUAUUGUCGUCGCCCCUGUCCGUCCGGACAUCAACACGUCUAUCCGUCCACAAUUUGUUUGUGGACACUCUACAGGUCACAAUUUUUAUCCAAUUUUUUGACGAAACUUGAAAUAUAGGUAUAUUUCGAUAUUCGCAUGUAUCGGACCAUAACUUCAUGGAUUAUGGCCCCUGAUUGUACGAAAAAUCAAGUUUUUAGCUUGUGGACACUCUAGAGGUCACAAUUUUGAUCCGAUUUUGAUGAAACUUGAUAUGCAUGUUUAUAACCCAAAUAUCUUGUUUCCUUUCGAUAUUCGCGCAUAUCAGAUCGUACCUUCCUGAAUUAUGGCCCCUGAUGGUACGAAAAAUCACGUUUUUAGCUUGUUGUCCCGCUAGAGGUCACAAUUUUUAGUGGAUUUAAAAAAAACGUUUUAGUACCAUAUAUCACCAUUACACCCUAAUGAUUGUCAAGUUUCGUAUUUCAUGAAAAUCGGACCAUAGCAUAUCAAGGUUGUGGACCCUCUAGAGGUCACAAUUUUCAUCCGAUUUUUAUGAAACUUGAAAUGCAUGUUUAUGUCUCAAAGAUCUUGGUUUCGUUUUAUAUUCGUGCAUAUCGGAUUGUAACUUCCUGAAUUAUGGCCAAUGAUUUUACGAAAAAUCUCGCUUUUAACUUGUGGUCCCUCUAGAGGUCACAAUAUUUAUCUGAUUUUAAAAAAAGGUCUUAGUAUAUCACUGUUACACCCUAACGAUGGUUGAAUUCGAAUUUUGUGAAAAUCAGACUAAAACUGUUGGACAAAAUGGCCGCCCCUUGUACACAAAUAGUGUAAAAUAUGGUAUAUCAAGGUUGUGGACCCUCUAGAUGUCACAAUUUUCAUCCGAUUUUGAUGAAACUUGGAAUGCAUAUUUAUAUCCCAAAGAUCUUGGAUCUUUUCGAUGUUCGCGCAUAUCAGUUCGUCACUUCCUGAAUUAUGGCCCCUGAUUGUACGAAAAAUGACGCUUUUAACUUGUGGUCCCCCUAGACGUCACAAUUUUUAUCUGAUUAAAAAAACAUUUUAGUAUAUCACUGUUACACCCUGAUGAUGGCUGAGUUCGAAUUUUGUGAAAAUUGGACCAAAAAUGUUGGACAAAAUGGCCGCCCCUUGUACGCAAAUAGUGUGAACAUCUCGUAUAUCAAGGUUGUGGACCUCUUAGAGUUCACAAUUUGGAUUCGAUUUUGAUGAAACUUGAAAUGCAUGUUUAUAACCUAAAGAUCUUGGUGCCUUUCGAUAUUCGCGCAUAUCGGAUGGUAACUUCCUGAAAUAUGGCCCUUGAUUGUACGAAAAAUCGCGUUUUGAGCUUGUGGUCCCUAUAGAGGUCACAAUUUUUAUCCGAUUUAUAAAAAAAAACGUGUGAAUAUAUCAAGGUUAUACACUAAUGAUGGUUGAGUUCGAAUUUCGUGAAAAUCGGACAAAAAUUGUACGCAAAUAGUGUAAAAAUAUGGUACAUCAAGGUUGUAGACCCUCUAGAGGCCACAGGUUUUAUCCGAUUUGGAUGAAACUUUAAAUAUUUGUUUUUAUCAUAAAAAUCUUGGUUCCUGUUGAUAAUCACACAUAUCCAAACGUAACUUCCUGGGUUAUGGCCCCUGAUUGGUCGAAAAAUCGCAUUUUUAGCUUGUGGAUUCUCUAGAAUCGAAAUGAAACUGCCCGACAAAAUGGACGCUCUUUGUACGCAAAUUGUGUAUAAUUGUGGAUGAUACUUAAAACAUAUCUUUAUAUUCCAAAAAUCUCAGUCCCUUUUGAUAUUUGCACAUUUAAGACCAUAACUUUGUGGAUUAUGACCCCUGAUUGUACAAAAAUUCCUUUUUAUUUUUAGCUUAUCCUUCUCUUGCUAAAUGUGGGUGUAUCCUGCCUGGCAGCCGCUGGUUCAUAAACUUAUAGUGGUAGAAAAUGUGGUCAUAUCUUGUCAUCACCCCUGUCGGUCUGUCAUCCACAAUUGCUUGUAGACGCUAUUGAAGCUAAAGUUAUAAUUACUGCCAGAGUUAUUGCCCUUGACCACUUUGAAAAGAUAUAUAGUUAUUUCUCGAAUGCCUUUAUAUUUGUACACAUGUUGUAAUUCAUGAGAUAAAGAAUCCUAGAAUUUCUUUGGUAGCCAAAUUUAUUACCUCAUAACCCGCUGAAGGCCUAGAUUUUUUGUAUUGUAAGUUUUAACAUCAGGAAGAACUACAUGUAGAAGCCAAUCAAAAAUUAUUUAUUUAUGAUAAUUACUUUAUGGGUUGUUACUCUUGAUCAGUUUUUAGUGCCUUGUUAAUGCUAACAUUACUUACAAAAGAAUAUACAGUAUAUGCAAGAAUCCAUGUGGACAGCUCAGACAACUUAGCUGCUGUGAGCUUAUAUUAAAUAUAAAUUUAACAAAAACUAAUUAAUAUCUCAUGAAUCCAUAAUCCAGUCUAUAUGUAUUAAAACCCCCCAUUAAAACUGUUCAUUUUGUGAUAAAUGUAUGAAACCUGGUCUCCAGGUAGGCCUACUAUGGAUUUGUCUGAUCAUUUCAGCAUUUGGUGCCAUUUUUAAAAAUAGAUAUUUGAUGUCAUCAGUGCCAAUUACAUUUUCAAAUUUAGAUAGCAAAAUAUUUACCUAUAAGGCUGUUCAUGUUUGUCAAAACAUUUUUGGGCAUGCACCAAAUUUUACUAUCUGGUUCAGUAAAGUACUGUAAUAUAUUAACAUUAAAAUGGAGAAUAUUUAAUUGGAGUUUGAAGUGUCAAGGGGUUUAAUAUUUUUUACCAGACUAUUUCAAGCUUCUUGUCAAUCAUUACCCACAGAAGUCCACUUGUCAAACUGGUGGAAUCUUUAACUAGAUAGUGUUGUGACACAACUUGUCAAGUUGGUGGAAUCUUUAAGUAGAUUGUGUGGUGACACAACUUGACAAGUGGAACAAAUAUCAUUCUAGCCCGUUAACUGUGUAGUUUUUAAAACGUUAAGUACCCCCAAUUGUGUAAUUAAUUUGACGAAAAACGUCAUUUUUGGACCGUUUUAUUCCUGAAUACAAAUGAUAGUUGUCUGAAACCAUAUUAAAACUAAUGGUAAAUAGAGUUGUCUCCCUUCAAUUAGAUUUCCUCGACCAGGUGUAAUAUAACGUCCUACACAUGCUGUGAUCGUAUUUUCGAAGAAUAGGUUGGGGAAAAUACCUCCAAGGCGUUAUAUUACGUCCUACACACGGUGAGUGGCAGUUGUCCAGGACGUUAAUAACGCCCUACGCUUUUAACGGGCUAAAUUAAUUAUCUGGGUGUCAAGCUAGUGGAACUUUUAACUACAGUAUUUUACAGGGUGUAAUUAAGGCUUAAUCUCUAAUUAGAGUUACCAAUGAGGUGUCAAGCUGUUGGAAUCUUUAAUGGUUUUGGCUGACAAAAUUCCUCAGGAAUUUCCAGUCUCGUUUCAACUUGUCAGUGUUGCAAAAGGCAUCAAGUCAUUCGAAUGGGGCAAAAAAAACCAAGUUUUUUGAACACAGUGGCCUGCAUAUGAAAGAACUUGCUCUGUCUGGGCAAAAUUUCACUCAUAGCACACUGCUGAAACAUACGAUGUGUCAUUUCAUUGCAUAUCAGGUGACCACUCAACCUGGUGUCACUUUUGCAACAUGGAGGAUCUUUUCAGUCAUUAAACAUAAAAACUAUCCUUUCAAAGCUUUGAAAGUGAUUAGGUCUGCAGCGAAUAUUUUGGUUAGUUGUAACCUCAAGACAUCAAUAAGGUGUUUCUGGACUUAUCCCAAAUCUUAAAAUGGUUAGCACAUAAAGCAUGAAACUUUGCAGACCUAAGCAGUUUUAACAAAAACUUAACAAUGUUUGCACAUAUCCACUGGACUAUCAUUGACAUAUCUAACAAUAUUAAAUGAAUUAAAAAUCAUAACAUUCCAUAUUAAAAUAGCAAAAAAUAUCCAUAUAGGUUAAAUAUUAACUGCCAAAAUCAUAAUAAUACACUGUAAUAACUGUAUUUUUAUAGUGAGUGCUCAGUAGAAUAAAUCUCUUGUGUGGUUAAAUAUGACUUAUUUCUUGUAGAUGUUGAUAGACCUUAUUUACAUGUCUGUCUGUUUAGUUUUGUGUAAAAAUACAAAUCAAAAUUGUAUUUUAAUAGAGUUGAUGCAUUUAGCAUUAUUCUUCAAUAUAAAAAUUUACUUUUCAUAUAAAUAGUUACACAUAAUCGAACAAAUUAUUAAUUAGAAUUCUAUGUAUUUUUAUUAUAAAUGAAAUAUAGAUUGAUAACAUAAUUUCUAGCUUUAUUUCUAUUGCUGUACAGUAUGUUUGGUAUUUUUGAUAUUGUUUCUUAUGUUCAAAAAACACCAAAACAACCCUUAUUUUGUUUAAAACAACACACUUUUAUGGGUUUUUUUUUAUACGCCCACAUUUUCAUGUGGACGUAUAUUUUCGUCACCCCUGUCCGUCUGGACGUCCACAAUUUGUUUGUGGACACUCUACAGGUCACAUUUUUUAUCCGAUUUUGACGAAACUUGAAAUACAGGUCUAUCUCCCAAAUAUCUUGCUUCCUUUCGAUAUUGGCAUGUAUUGGACCAUAACUUUAUGGAUUAUGGCCCCUGAUUGUACAAAAAAUCACGUUUUUAGCUCGUGGACACUCUGGAGGUCACAAUUUUUUAGCUGAUUUUGAUGAAACUUGAAAUGAAUGUUUAUAACCCAAAGAUCUUGGUUCCUUUCGAUAUUCGCACAUAUCGGAUUGUAACUUCCUGAAUUAUGGCCCCUGAUUGUACCAAAAAAUCGUGUUUUUAGCUUGUAGUCCCUCUAGAGGUCACAAUUUUUAUCUGAUUUAAAAAAAAAAACGUUUUUGUAUAUCACCGUUACACCCUAAUGAAGGUUGAGGUCGAAUUUUGUGAAAAUCAGACCAAAACUGCUGGACAAAAUGGACGCCCCUUUUAUGCAAAUAAUGUAAAAUAUGGUAUAUCAAGGCUGUGGACCUCUUAGAGUUCACAAUUUGGAUUCGAUUUUGAUGAAACUUGAAAUGCAUGUUUAUGUCCCAAAGAUCUUGGUUCCAUUUUAUAUUCGCGCAUAUCGGAUUGUAACUUCCUGAAUUAUGGCCCUUGAUUGUACGAAAAAUCGUGUUUGAGCUUGUGGUCCCUAUAGAGGUCACAAUUUUUAUCCGAUUUAAAAAAAAAAACGUGUGAAUAUAUCACAGUUAUACACUAAUGAUGGUUGAGUUCGAAUUUUGUGAAAAUCGCACAAAAAUUGACGGACAUAAUGGUCGCCCCUUGUGCGCAAAUAGUGUAAAAAUAUGGUAUAUCAAGGUUGUGGACCCUCUAGAGGCCACAGUUUUUAUCCGGUUUGGACGAAACUUUAAAAAUAUGUUUUUAUCAUGCAGAUGUUGGUUCCUUUUGAUAAUCAUUCAUAUCAGUAUCAGAACGUAACUUCGUGGAUUAUGGCCCCUGAUGGGUCGUGGAUUUUCGAUUUUAAAAACCGUUUAGAUAUAUCACCAUUCCACCAUAAUGAAGGUUGGAUUCGAAUUUCGGGAAAAUCAAAAUGAAACUGCCCGAUAAAAUUGCCGUUCUUUGUACGCAAAUUGUGUAUAAGUAUGUAAUACAAAGGUUAUGGAACCUCUAGAGGUCACAAUUUUUAUCCAAUUUUGAUGGAACUUAAAACAUCUCUUUAUAAUAUCUUAGUCCCUUUUGAUAUUUGCGCAUUUCAGACCAUAACUUUCUGGAUUAUGGCCCCUGAUUGUAGGCUACAAAAAAUCGUUUUUGUUUUUAGCUUCUCUAUCCAUCUCUUGCAAAAUGUGGGUGUAUCCUGUCUGGCAGCUGCUGGUUAUCAUAAAGAUCUUGGUUCCUUUUGAUAAUCACACAUAUCCGAACGUAACUUCCUGAAUUAUGGCCCCUGAUUGGUUGAAAAAUCGCAUUUUUAGCUUGUGGAUUCUCUAGAGGUCACAAUUUUUUUUUUUCGAUUUUAAAAACCGUUUAGAUAUAUCACCAUUCCACCAUAAUGAAAGUUUAAUUCGAAGUUAGGGAAAAUUGAAAUGAAGCUGCUUGACAAAAUGGCCGCUCUUUGUACUCAAAUUGUGUAUAAGUAUGUCAUACAAAGGUUAUGGACCCUCUAGAGGUCACAAUUUUUAUCUGAUUUUGAUGAAAUUUAAAACAUAUCUUUAUAUUCCAAAAAUCUCAGUCCCUUUUGAUAUUUGCGCAUUUCAGACCAUAACUUUCUGGAUUAUGGCCCCUGAUUGUACAAAAAAUCGUUUUUGUUUUUAGCUUGUUCUCUAUCCAUCUUUUGCAAAAUGUUACUGUAUCCUGCCUGGCAGCCGCUGGAUUCUUUCUUUAUAAAUUUAUAGAAAAUUACUAUUCCCUAAACUUCAUUCUCUUAUUUUUUUAAUAAUAAUUUUGAGAAAAAGAAAAUCGUAAAUAAAUUUAAGAGAGACAACUCUUAUUGUCAUCCUAGUGAUUAUGGAAUCAAAUAGUAAUUCUCUCUCUAUUGACUUCAAUUUUAAAUCCAUAACAUUUUUUUUUAACAUUCUGAUGUUCUUUAUCUUUAUAACAACAAAGAUCCCAACAUAAAAUAUAAAAUAAAAAUAUACAUGAUAAAGUUCAGUUUUAAGCAAAUACAGGUUGUUUUCGGUAAAUAAAUGGACCUGCCUUUAAGUAGUGACAGGCGUCAAGCACUUAAAGCAGAGUAUUCUCAGAGACUUUGUCCAUGAGAGACCGCCUAAAGGAACUAGGUAUUCUCAGACUAUCUGAUACCAUAUCUUUUUUUUAGAAGUUCACAUAAACCUUACAUAUUUUUGGAGUUUUGAUUGAAUGUUGUACUCUUUUUGACAUUUUUAGGGGUCCCACUGAUCAUAAUUAAAACUAUAUAAUGUAAAUAUUACUCUGGUUUGAAAAAUAAUCCACAAUUGGAGAGAAAAUAUGUUUUUGAGCGUCCCCCACCAAAUGUAAAAUGUUAAUAAAGAUUCAUCUAUUAAGGAGUUCAAUCUAUUUAAGACCGAAAAUGUAAUAUUAUACAAAUUAAAUUUGAAUUUGGAAAGUUUCAUUAUUAUGUAAAAUGUAUGAAAGCAUGUAAUACCAGUAUUUCAUGCCAUUAUUUGUUACAUGUAAGUAUUACUCACAAACUACCCAUUUAUCAUUGUGUGAAUUUGAGAAUUGAUUAGAAAUGGAAGAACAUGAGGUUUUCCCUCUUAAAAUCAAGUCAACAACAAUAAUAAUAAACCUAUGUACAUUAUUCACUGUUUUUAAUAAUUAAUAAUGUUGUCAUAAACAACCCAUUACUUUAUUGUUAUUCUAGACAUUAUAUUUGUAUAUUUGACCAUAUUUUAUGUUUGUUAAAAUCAGAAACAGAAACAUGUAUAAACAAUGUGCAAUACUAA